rnacentral:rRNA from 1 species
CCGGCGCACGGGUGAGUAACGCGUAUCCAACCUGCCCAUCACUUGGGGAUAACCUUGCGAAAGUAAGACUAAUACCCAAUGAUAUCUCUAGAAGACAUCUGAAAGAGAUUAAAGAUUUAUCGGUGAUGGAUGGGGAUGCGUCUGAUUAGCUUGUUGGCGGGGUAACGGCCCACCAAGGCGACGAUCAGUAGGGGUUCUGAGAGGAAGGUCCCCCACAUUGGAACUGAGACACGGUCCAAACUCCUACGGGAGGCAGCAGUGAGGAAUAUUGGUCAAUGGACGAGAGUCUGAACCAGCCAAGUAGCGUGCAGGAUGACGGCCCUAUGGGUUGUAAACUGCUUUUAUAAGGGAAUAAAGUGAGAGUCGUGACUCUUUUUGCAUGUACCUUAUGAAUAAGGACCGGCUAAUUCCGUGCCAGCAGCCGCGGUAAUACGGAAGGUCCGGGCGUUAUCCGGAUUUAUUGGGUUUAAAGGGAGCGUAGGCCGGAGAUUAAGCGUGUUGUGAAAUGUAGACGCUCAACGUCUGCACUGCAGCGCGAACUGGUUUCCUUGAGUACGCACAAAGUGGGCGGAAUUCGUGGUGUAGCGGUGAAAUGCUUAGAUAUCACGAAGAACUCCGAUUGCGAAGGCAGCUCCACUGGAGCGCAACUGACGCUGAAGCUCGAAAGUGCGGGUUAUCGAACAGGAUUAGAUACCCUGGUAGUCCGCACGGUAAACGAUGGAUGCCCCGCUGUUGGUCUGAAAUAGGUCAGCGGCCAAGCGUAAAGCCAUUAAGCAUCCCCACCUGGGGAGUACGCCGGCAACGGUGAAACUCAAAUGAAUGGAC